CGUAUGCGAAGGGCCAGAGAAGCCAGACCCAGUAAGAAAAAAUAGCCUAUUUACUUUAAAUAAACAAACCAAACAUUCCAUUUUAAAUGUGGGGAUUGGGAACCACUAGUUCUUUCAGAUGGUAUUCUUCAAACUGUAGAAGGAGCUUCCAGUUGAAUUCACCAGUGGACAAAAUGAGGACAACAGGUGAACAAGCUUUUUCUGUAUUUACAUACAAAGUCAGAUCAGUUAUGGGACAAUAGUAUUGAAUAGAUUUCAGCUUUAUGCUGGAGUAAUUGGCAUGUGAGCAAACUGUGUUGGCAUGGGGGUGGAGGGGUGAGGUGGGUGCUAAGCCUUUUUUUAAGAUUUUUCAGGUACCCCUCACUAAAGGCACCGAAGGCUUAAAGUAGGACAACCAUGGAGCCUUCCUGUGGCAAGAGAGACAACAAAGCGCUAUUAUCCUAAGACCCUUCACCCCUCACCUCGAUGCAGCCGGUAGCUUGGAUCCUUGUGGGCAUGAUCCAUAAUCGGUUUCAAGGUAAUACCCUGAAACUGGUGUUUUGAGAAGCCCUACUGCUGAAAACUUAACAAUUUUAUGUAAUAAAAAUGGAGAAGCUC
rnacentral:lncRNA from 1 species